rnacentral:tRNA from 1 species
GGCGCGUUGGCAGAGUGGUUAUGCAGCGGAUUGCAAAUCCGCGAACAUCGGUUCGAUUCCGGAACGCGCCU